GCCUUCUUAGCUCAGUGGUAGAGCGCAUGCCUAGUAAGCAUGAGGCCGGGUGUUCAAUCCACCCAGAAGGCA
rnacentral:tRNA from 1 species